rnacentral:rRNA from 1 species
AACGAACGCUGGCGGCGCGCCUAAUACAUGCAAGUCGAACGAGAAUGUGUAGCAAUACACAUGUACAGUGGCGAACGGGUGAGGAAUACAUAGGUAACCUACCCUCGAGUGGGGAAUAACUAGCCGAAAGGUUAGCUAAUACCGCGUACGCUUCCCGGACUACGGUUCGGGGAGGAAAGCGAUACCGUGGGUAUCGCGCUCUUGGAUGGGCUUAUGUCCUAUCAGCUUGUUGGUGAGGUAACGGCUCACCAAGGCUUCGACGGGUAGCUGGUCUGAGAGGACGAUCAGCCACACUGGCACUGCGACACGGGCCAGACUCCUACGGGAGGCAGCAGUAAGGAAUAUUGCGCAAUGGGCGACAGCCUGACGCAGCGACGCCGCGUGGGGGACGAAGGUCUUCGGAUUGUAAACCCCUUUCGGGAGGGAGGAUGGGACGGGUAACCGUUCGGACGGUACCUCCAGAAGCAGCCACGGCUAACUUCGUGCCAGCAGCCGCAGUAACAC